GAAAUGCGAUACUUGGUGUGAAUUGCAGAAUUCAGUGAAUCAUCGAAUCUUUGAACGCACAUUGCGCCUCCUGGUAUUCCGGGAGGCAUGCCUGUUCGAGCGUCAUUAAAAUCACUCAAGCUUAGGUUUACCUAUUGCUUGGUCUUGGAGAUGGAAGCCGAGUAAUCGGAAUCCUCUUCGAAAUCCAAUGGCGAAGACCCUUGCUCUCCCAAGUGUAGUAAUUACUUAUGUCACUGAAGAAAGCGAGAAAUCUUCCGCCGUAACCCCCAUAUUUUCUAUGAUUGACCUCGGAUCAGGUAGGGAUACCCGCUGAACUUAA
rnacentral:misc_RNA from 1 species